GCGUAGCGGUGGGAGCUCAAAUCGUGCCGGCGCUCGGCUCGUCGAGGCGAUGAGCCCUUGGGGCGGCGGCCGUGCCGGCGGAACGCUGGGAAUAGCGAGACGCGGGGUGUAGCGAGACGCGCGGGAGGCAACGAGCGUGCGACGGAAAGCGAGCAAGGGAGCGGGAUGGCCUCGCCGCCGUCGUCGGCACGCGCGCCACGAAGCGCGCGAUACCCAUACAUGCGCACACGUCUCUCGUCGAAGCGUACGUGUGAGGAGCGAGAUUGGCGUACGCCGAGCGGUCGGUCGGUUGGUCGCUCUCGGAAAGCAUGGAACCGACACCCGAGCAACGAUGAUGAGAAGAAGGAGAAAGGGAGAAGGAAGGAGAACGCAGCGGAGACGUAACUGCGGGGCAGAAACGGCCGAGAAAGGCGAGAGGCUAUUUUGUCCCGCGGUGAAGACCCGCAAGAGCUCUUCGACGACGAGACGGACUAAGAAAAAGGAGGAAGCGGGAGGAGACGGCGAGCAAAGACGACGGUGGCGGGCGUGCCGAAGCGGAGAAAAGAGGGAAAGGUACUCCGAAGCUUUUUGCGAGCGCGCUGCGCCAUACCAUGCCGUGCCACGCCGCCGUCAUGCCGAGCCACGCCGUGUUCGUGCCGAACCACGCCGUGGUUAGAUCGACCGCCGUUGCGGAGUUAAGCCGAUGAGGCGCGCCCAGGCGGAACUGCCAAGGCCGCGGCGCACUCUUGGUGUGCGCGUGUGUGUGUCGCGCGGCGCGACGACACGCUCACGGGCGUGUCGUCGACAGCGGUGGUGCACGGUCUGCGAGGUGAUGGAGCGAAUUCACAACGAGCGGUGGCGAGACAUUACGCGGGCGCCGCGACGAGAGACGAGGCUCAUUAGCGCCACGAUCUUUCCAUUCUCUUCCCACUGCGUAUACUGUACUAUAAUAUACGAGCGAAACAAGGGAUGGAAAGUAAUAACGCAAAUAUAAAAGAAAAGGAAAGAAAAGGAAGAUGUACAAAAGACAAAGAAGAUAGAAAAGAUUUUGCUCGAUAGCUUCAGCAAAUUUUGAUCAUUCUUAAAGAAACAAAAAAAAGAGAGAGAAUUAAGUGCACACGAAAGAGCAAGAGAUGAGCGAGCGCGAGAAAUUCGAGACGCUCGGUGUCGAAAUGCUAUCCGGCAUACAAGAAAGGACAAUCCUCAUUAGCGAGAGCUUGCGGCACGGCGGCAGCGGCGUGGCUUGGUAUGGCAACGGUAUGAUGUACAGUGUGGCGUGGCACACACGUGCAGCACGCGCGAAUUCGAUACGCCGAAAGGAAUGCUGUAGAUAGAAUAGUUGAUACGGAUUAAGGAGGCCGCUGCGUCGUGUCGCCUUAAUCUUUUGAAA